ACUCAGCUGACGAGUCUCAAAUAGGACAAAACUCACAUCCUGAAU
rnacentral:hammerhead_ribozyme from 1 species